GUUGGUGAACCAGCGGAGGGAUCAUUACAGGGAGCCGAAAGGCUGCUUAACACCACUGCGAACCAAUCCUUAGGCGUUGCUUCGGCGGGCGGCCCCAGCACGGGGUCCCAGCACCUCCCCCCCUCGGGGGGGAGGGGCGCCCGCCGGAGGUACAAAACUCUCAAGCAUCUUAGUGGCAUCUCUGAGUAAUCAAGCAAAUAAGUUAAAACUUUCAACAACGGAUCUCUUGGCUCUGGCAUCGUGUAGAACG
rnacentral:misc_RNA from 1 species